AUAAUCAAUAGGCAGAAAGCAAGAUUGAGGCUUCCUCAGCUUUUGGAUCGACAAUCGACAGCUAAGAGACUAUUUUUUGCUAUGGUUGACUAAAUAUGGUCAGGGAAGAGAGAGGCACAAGAGAGCCUGUUUGCCUGGGAGGGCAUGUUUCAAAUGCUUAGCUGCCUAUAAAGCUGUAACAGUUUAGCCUCUGUCACUGAAGGAAGAAUAUAAGUUGCUUCUGUAGUGACCAUGUGGAAGCCCUGACCUCGCUUGCAGACUUGACCUCUGGAUAUGACAAGGUAGCUUCACUACAGAUCUACCAUUUAUUCCUGGAAACUAAAAACCAAAAGAAACUCAAACAAGAAAGAUGCAGAAUAUUUCCUGAGAAGUCAGAAGAACCCAAUGUAUUCUGGUGGGCAAAGAAAGGGUGAGAUUCUGUGUUCACUGAUACAUCCCCCUUCCUUUACCCGGCUCAUGAAAAGAAGUGCUGAAUCAGCAAAUAGAGGGAACGAACAAUCAAGAUGAGAUGGCUGCUGCUGAUGUGACUCUCUAGGUCAUUACCUUUCUUCCUGCUGCAGAUGCUGCAUGACACUAAGCUCACAGGAUCUAGAAGCAAGCUACAAAAACAAGAAGAAAUUUGCUGUGAUGACUAUAAAGAAACACUAGACUCACCUUACCAAAUUCUGAAAUACACUCUGUAACACUCCACUGAUUCUAUGACUGUCUUGCAAAAAGAACCAAACCACGACAAAGUUCAACAAAUAACU